rnacentral:rRNA from 1 species
UACGAAGGGGGCUAGCGUUGCUCGGAAUCACUGGGCGUAAAGCGCACGUAGGCGGCUUUUUAAGUCAGGGGUGAAAUCCUGGAGCUCAACUCCAGAACUGCCUUUGAUACUGAGAAGCUUGAGUCCGGGAGAGGUGAGUGGAACUGCGAGUGUAGAGGUGAAAUUCGUAGAUAUUCGCAAGAACACCAGUGGCGAAGGCGGCUCACUGGCCCGGUACUGACGCUGAGGUGCGAAAGCGUGGUGAGCAAACAGG